GACAUAGGAGGCGAGCGUUAUCCGGAUUUAUUGGGCGUAAAGUGCGUUGAGGCGGUUUUGUAAGUUGGACGUGAAAGCUCCCGGCUUAACUGGGAGAGGUCGUUCAAUACUGCAAGGCUAGAGGGCAGUAGAGGGGGGUGGAAUUUCCGGUGUAGUGGUGAAAUGCGUAGAUAUCGGAAGGAACACCAGUGGCGAAGGCGGCCCCCUGGACUGCACCUGACGCUGAAGGCGAAAGCUAGGGUAGCAAACGGGAUUAGAUACCCCUGUA
rnacentral:rRNA from 1 species